rnacentral:sRNA from 1 species
GGAACAUACGAAUGUAGUUGUGAAGAAGGCUACAGAAUUGGAAAUGACAGAAAAACUUACCCCUCUUUAGAUGAUGAUGAGUUGGAGGAAGAAGAGGAGUGGGAAGUUGUGAGGUUUCCAGGUCUUCUAUUCAAGAGCCCACCUCAACAGCUUCAUUAUGUUGCUACCUUUCUGCCUCCCACCUACAAAGAUGAAGAAGAUGAGGAGGAAGAGGAAAAAGAUAUUCGUAGAGAACUGACUGCUUUGCACAAUUUUGUCUGUUUAGAUCACAUCUUUGGACACAAUUGCAGCUUGAGCUGCAAGGACUGAAUGAAUGGAGGACAGUGCCAGGAAGGAGUGAAUGCUCCUGCCCAGCAGGUUGGGGUGUCAUUCCUUGUAAUGAAAACUGUCCCAAGGGUGCCUACGGAGCUGGCUGCACUUCAGAAUGUCAGUGUGUGGAGGAGAAUACCCUGGAAUGCAGUGCCAAAAAUGGUAGUUGCACCUGCAAAUCUGGUUACCAAGGCAACAGAUGCCAGAAAGAUGGCCUCUGGGGACCAGAGGGCUGGUUCUCCUCUGCACCCUGUGAAAAUGGAGGUCAGUGCAACAAAAAAACUGGAAAUUGUGACUGCACUCCUGAUUACACAAGAAAAUCCUGUACCAUAUGUAAGUCAUAAACCUAGACGAAAUAACCAACCAAGUUAAUAAAACUGUUAACGUUAAAAA